ACAACCGUGUGACUCAUUUGGAAAAAGGACUCAUCGUCGGUUUCAUGGCAGCGAAGUGAGCAGACAAAAAAGGCAUCGUUUUUUUCCACAUGAUCGUUCUGAGCAAAAUUCAGCGAUUUGCCAGGCAUAAACCACCGAUGAGACAGUACCCGUUCGGAUUCAGGACGUUUUCCCAUACAUUGUACCCGGUCGAAGCGAUGCAGAUAACUGGGUCAAAAAGGCGGAGGUUCUGGGAAUUUCUGCACUCGUUAGCGAUCUGAGUAUGACCAAGGACAAGGAAUCAGAACCGGCGACUGACAGUCCAGAGAAAGAGAAUGCGGAAAAACCUUCUAGUCCAUAGCUCCUGAAGAAAAACGAGCUGAAGCGAAUAUGGAGAAACAGCUUCCUCCACGGAAAAUGCAGAGGCAUGCAACGCGGCGGAUGCAAGUUUGCUAAUUGAAAUUAUUCGCAAAGAUCUAGUAGAAUUAAAACUGGAGGUGCUGCGAAACGAUCCUUUUUCGACGCUAUACUCG